GACGGAGGGUGCAAGCGUUGUUCGGAUUUACUGGGCGUAAAGGGCGUGUAGGCGGUUGGUCAAGUCUGAUGUGAAAGCCCGGGGCUCAGCCCCGGAAGGGCAUCGGAAACUAGCCAGCUGGAGCGCGAUAGAGGAGGGUGGAAUUCCUGGUGUAGCGGUGAAAUGCGUAGAUAUCAGGAGGAACACCGGCGGCGAAGGCGGCCCUCUGGAUCGUUGCUGACGCUGAGACGCGAAAGCGUGGGGAGCAAACAGG
rnacentral:rRNA from 1 species